rfam:Cavia porcellus supercont2_184 genomic scaffold, whole genome shotgun sequence.
UGGGGUGUAGCUCAGUGGCACAGCACCUGCCUAGCAUGCAUGAGGCCCUGGGUUCAAUCCCCAGCACCACAU